AUAAAAGAUUGAAUAAAAUUAACCACACGUCUAUUUCAGUUGCAACACGUUAAGCAGAAAUGAUAGAACAAAGAACAGACAGUUUAUGAGUUAGAGAUCUUGACAAGAGAUUCUCAAUAAAUAAAAAUUAAAAGAAAAAUUAAUCUAGAUUAUGAUUUUCAAGCACAGAGAGCUUGUAUUUUCAAAAUCGGUAUAAAGAAAGGGUAACCAAGGAAAGCACAAUGCUUUUAUUGAGCUUUCUUUGGAUUUCGUUCUUGUUUAACCAAAAAAAGAAAGGAUUUUUAGGUAAAUGAAGACUAAAGUUGCUCUUGCACUUAAAAAGCAAGAAUAGGUCUAGGUAAAGAUUUUAACAGUCAAGAGGGCAGCUUUUAUACUAAAUUCGGGAAGAGAAACCCCGACAAAAGUAUCAAAAGUCCUUUGCUUUCAGUGAAAUUUUAGACAGGAUCGCCGGAGAGUUUUUGGUUAUACGUCACAAUAUUACAAGGGCAACAAGGUAGUUAGCAAACUCUUGUAUCAUUGGACGCCGACUUAAAAAAACGCAGUCACACACAAAUAAGAACGAAUAAGAUGUGGAAUAGAAUUUAAACGACGUGUAUGACGAGGAUCAACAGCUCGUUGAAAGUCAAGAACGAGGUAAAAAUGUCACGAUAUCAUUAAUUCUCCAUAGCAAAAAAAAAAAUUCAAUCGUAAAAUGAUACACUGUACGUAAUGAAACUGAUGCAUAUACUGGGGAAAGACACUAUUAGUGAGGUAGAAAGCCGAUAACAGGAUGAAAAAACGACUUUCAAUAAAUGUGAUGUAGGAAUAAUUCUCAAAAGUAAAGUAAAUUUAAAUACUUUGGCGACCGAGGCUGCAAGUUCGGACUGCUAGCAAAUACAGAGUGUAUUCCAACGUCAAUAAUUUUAGCAAAGUAACCGAAAAAACCAAGUAUAUUUCUAUACUCCUCAUAUCGUUAAAUCAAGAUUGAACACAAAAAAACGUUUCCUGAGGCAAAAGAAGUAAAGUGUCUGCAGUAAAAUUAAUUCGCAAGGCGAAAAAAUAAUACCAAUGGUGGCCAUACGUAUUGGAACCAGCAAAUAUCAAAGUUUAAAACACAGCAUACUCUCAUCGCUGCAUGACUAUCUCAAAGCUGGCAAUAGAACAAUUAACGUUACGGAACCAUAAUCCUUCAAAUUUCGAUUGCUUGCAUUCUCGAGCUCCACAUAUUCGAGUCCAUAACGGAACUAACCUAAAUGCGGAGUUCCUCUAGUAUUAACUAGUAACAUGAAUAGAGCAUAGCCGUGCUCUUUUUUUUUAAGAAAACGUCACGCAACGUGUAUCUUAUCUCUGUCCUAUCCAAGUCAGGAUAGCUAGGGGCCCCCAACCUGGAGACCAUACAUCGACCGCGACACCAACCAUCCUAGCGAGACUCCCUAACAAGAAGGUAAAUAUGGAUGGACAAUGAACCUUUUCAAAAAAAAACAGAAUUCUCAAGCGAUAUAUUCGCUCUUGAACAGUUCGGUGUAAAAGGAUACUUCUAUCCCUUGAUUACGUGUACGCCCAUACUUCAUUCGGACUAUAGAAGAAAUAUGGAGCUGUAACCCGUACUGCAAUUGUCUGUGUUAAGAAAAUGUAAACGCUGCACACUAAAUCAUCACUAAUUCAUCGCUAACUAACGUAGUCCCUAAAAAGUUAUGAACUUGGUAAACGACUUUUGAGGCCUUGGGACCUCCUUAAAUACGCCCAACUCAUUACUAACAAGGUUUGCUAUGUCCGUGAAAAGCGCCUAUUGUACAUAUAUUGCUCCCAUAUAUGUGAAGCUUUUGCCCAAUCAUUGUAAGACAGGGUCUUGCUAUAUUUCCCUACCCCGCUCCAUUCUUCCCAAGUCUGAGAAAAACUGUGGAGAAGCCUACCAAUUUUGCCUAAGGGGAUUUUGAUCCCGCCUCUGCAAUCUAUUGGACGAUAAUAGCUAUAACUACAUUUGAUUGGAUGAAAGACAUGUGAUGAAUGCUGGAUGGUUUUGUUGUUUUUAAAUGACCACCGAUAAUUUUUUUAGUUAGUACGCAUACAUUGAUGAAAGCUGAAAAAUUAUAAUAGGGUGAAUAAAUGAAAUUCUUUUUGUGUCUUUUACUCUAAUAUCGUCUGGCAAUUUUCUAUUUUCGUACUUCGAUAGCGCCAUACAUGUCUUGUCACCCGUUUUUACGAGCUAGGCUUAGAAAUAUCUUGGAAUUUUUUUUCAGACAUGUUGAUGAUUGGCUGAUACUUUUUCCAGUUCUGCCUCCUCCACAAUUUGCAUCCGCGUUUUCCAGAGACGUUGGGGCAAUAACUUUGUCUAACAUUAAAUUGAAAUUACAAGGGUAAGUAUUUGAAUCAAGACUAACCUUUAUACGUUGAAUGUCUUCGAUAUUGUAGAGAAUGCCUUGAAAAAAAAAUUUUAUUUGUGUUAAUACAAUCUAAUAUUGUGGAAUAAAAAAUGGUUUGUGACUGCUCUUCUGUUCUCGGCUGUUGUAUUUCUUAAUAGGACGGCUCGUAAAAUUCGUUAUUUGCGCGUCCAGUACACCAUCGAUUCCCAUAUUAUCCACAGUUUACAAA